AUUGAACGCUGGCGGCAUGCCUUACACAUGCAAGUCGAACGGCAGCAUGAUCUAGCGUGCUAGAUUGAUGGCGAGUGGCGGACGGGUGAGUAAUACAUCGGAACGUGCCCUGUAGUGGGGGAGAACUAGUCGAAAGAUGAGCUAGUACCGCAGACGACCUGAGGGUGAAAGUGGGGGACCGCAAGGCCUCAUGCUAUAGGAGCGGCCGAUGUCUGAGUGGCUAGUUGGUGAGGUAAAGGCACACCAAGGCGACGAACAGGAGCUGGUCUGAGAGGAAGAUUAGCCACACUGGGACUGAGACACGGCCCCGACUCCUACGGGAGGCAGCAGUGGGGAAUUUUGGACAAGGGGCGAAAGCCUGAUCCAGCAAUGCCGCGUGUGUCAAGAACGCCUUCGGCUUGUAAAGCACUUUUGUCCGGAAAGAAAUGGCUCUGGUUAAUACCUGGGGUCGAUGACGGUACCGGAAGAAUAAGGACCGGCUAACUCCGUG
rnacentral:rRNA from 1 species